rnacentral:rRNA from 1 species
CGGACCGGCGGACGGGUGCGUAACGCGUAUGCAACCUGCCUGACACAGGGGGAUAAUCCGAAGAAAUUUGGUCUAAUACCCCAUAAUACCGAUAUAGGCAUCUAUGUUGGUUGAAAGCUUUGGUGGUGUCAGAUGGGCAUGCGUUGUAUUAGCUAGUUGGUGAGGUAACGGCUCACCAAGGCGACGAUACAUAGGGGGACUGAGAGGUUAACCCCCCACACUGGUACUGAGACACGGACCAGACUCCUACGGGGGCAGCAUG